AGUUUUCAUAAUUUUCUGACACUGUGCAUUUUCUGCUAAUUUAUCUGCCCCAUUCCUCACAGAAAAUUCUAAAUCUUCGGUUUUCGCUCCGAUUUCAGCAAAGGUCAUUUCCAACUUAUACUUUACUUCUAUGAGUCCAAUAAAAUAGUAUCUCACACUAUUUUUAUUUAUAUUUAUUUUUAUAAUAAACUCCGACAUACUAUCCUACCGUAACUUCCUAUUUUCAGAAGUUCGGUAUCCUACAGAUUCGUUCCAAAUUUACACUCUCGGGGCAUAAUAGAACAAUAUAAUUAGAUUUUACUCUUUGUUCGAAGAACGAGAAAAAGCACUCGUUGCAAAUUUAUACUGUUAGGGCGCAACAGAGUAGUCUAUUGUUGUUCCGGUUUUGGUUCUUGUGAAUGUUGACAUCGAUUCGUUCCAAAUUUACACUCUCGGGGCAUAAUAGAAUAAUAUAAAAAGGCUUUACUCUUUGUUCGAUUGAAUGCGAAAAAGCACUCAUUGCAAAUUUAUACUGUUAGGGCGCAACAACGUAGUCUAUUGUUGUUCCGGUUUUGGUUCUUGUUAUGGUUGACAUCGAGUCGUUCGAAAUUUACACUCUCGGGGCAUAAUAGAACAAUAUAAUUAUGUUUUACUCUUUAUUCGAUAGAAUGCGAAAAAGUACUCGUUGCAAAGUUAUACUGUUAGGGCGCAACUCAGUAGUCAAUUGUUGUUCCGGUUUUGGUUCUUGUGAAUGUUCACAUCGAUUCGUUCCAAAUUUACACUCUCGGGGCAUAAUAGAAUAAUAUAAAUAGCUUUUAUACUUUGUUCGAUUGAAUGAGAAAAAGUACUCGUUGCAAAGUUAUAUUGUUAGGGCGCAACUUAGUUGUCUAAUGUUGUUCCGGUUUUGGCUCUUGCGAACGUUGACAUCGAUUAGUUCCAAAUUUAC
rnacentral:lncRNA from 1 species